UACGUAGGUGGCAAGCGUUGUCCGGAUUUAUUGGGCGUAAAGAGAAUGUAGGCGGUUUAUUAAGUUUGAAGUGAAAGCCCUCGGCUCAACCGAGGAAGUGCUUCGAAAACUGGUAAACUUGAGUGCAGAAGAGGAAAGUGGAACUCCAUGUGUAGCGGUGGAAUGCGUAGAUAUAUGGAAGAACACCAGUGGCGAAGGCGGCUUUCUGGUCUGUAACUGACGCUGAGAUUCGAAAGCAUGGGUAGCAAAC
rnacentral:rRNA from 1 species